GACGAACGCUGGCGGCGUGCUUAACACAUGCAAGUCGAACGGAAAGGCCCUGCUUUUGUGGGGUGCUCGAGUGGCGAACGGGUGAGUAACACGUGAGUAACCUGCCCUUGACUUUGGGAUAACUUCAGGAAACUGGGGCUAAUACCGGAUAGGAGCUCCUGCUGCAUGGUGGGGGUUGGAAAGUUUCGGCGGUUGGGGAUGGACUCGCGGCUUAUCAGCUUGUUGGUGGGGUAGUGGCUUACCAAGGCUUUGACGGGUAGCCGGCCUGAGAGGGUGACCGGCCACAUUGGGACUGAGAUACGGCCCAGACUCCUACGGGAGGCAGCAGUGGGGAAUAUUGCAGAAUGGGCGGAAGCCUGAUGCAGCAACGCCGCGUGCGGGAUGACGGCCUUCGGGUUGUAAACCGCUUUCGCCUGUGACGAAGCGUGAGUAACGGUAAUGGGUAAAGAAGCACCGGCUAACUACGUG
rnacentral:rRNA from 1 species